GACGAACGCUGGCGGCGUGCUUAACACAUGCAAGUCGAACGGAAAGGCCCUGCUUUUGUGGGGUGCUCGAGUGGCGAACGGGUGAGUAACACGUGAGUAACCUGCCCUUGACUUUGGGAUAACUUCAGGAAACUGGGGCUAAUACCGGAUAGGAGCUCCUGCUGCAUGGUGGGGGUUGGAAAGUUUCGGCGGUUGGGGAUGGACUCGCGGCUUAUCAGCUUGUUGGUGGGGUAGUGGCUUACCAAGGCUUUGACGGGUAGCCGGCCUGAGAGGGUGACCGGCCACAUUGGGACUGAGGUACGGCCCAGACUCCUACGGGAGGCAGCAGUGGGGAAUAUUGCGCAAUGGGCGGAAGCCUGAUGCAGCAACGCCGCGUGCGGGAUGACGGCCUUCGGGUUGUGAACCGCUUUCGCCUGUGACGAAGCGUGAGUGACGGUAAUGGGUAAAGAAGCACCGGCUAACUACGUG
rnacentral:rRNA from 1 species